GUGGGGAAUAUUGGACAAUGGGCGAAAGCCUGAUCCAGCCAUGCCGCGUGUGUGAAGAAGGUCUUCGGAUUGUAAAGCACUUUAAGUUGGGAGGAAGGGCAGUAAGUUAAUACCUUGCUGUUUUGACGUUACCGACAGAAUAAGCACCGGCUAACUUCGUGCCAGCAGCCGCGGUAAUACGAAGGGUGCAAGCGUUAAUCGGAAUUACUGGGCGUAAAGCGCGCGUAGGUGGUUUUGUAAGUUGGAGGUGAAAUCCCCGGGCUCAACCUGGGAACUGCCUCCAAAACUGCAUGACUAGAGUACGGUAGAGGGUAGUGGAAUUUCCUGGGUAGCGGUGAAAUGCGUAGAUAUAGGAAGGAACACCAGUGGCGAAGGCGACUACCUGGACUGAUACUGACACUGAGGUGCGAAAGCGUGGGGAGCAAACAGGAUUAGAUACCCGGGUAGUCC
rnacentral:rRNA from 1 species